rnacentral:rRNA from 2 species
GAACGAUGAAGCCGCUUCGGUGGUGGAUUAGUGGCGAACGGGUGAGUAACACGUGGGCAAUCUGCCCUUCACUCUGGGACAAGCCCUGGAAACGGGGUCUAAUACCGGAUGAUACUUCUGCCUGCAUGGGUGGGGGUUGAAAGCUCCGGCGGUGAAGGAUGAGCCCGCGGCCUAUCAGCUUGUUGGUGGGGUGAUGGCCUACCAAGGCGACGACGGGUAGCCGGCCUGAGAGGGCGACCGGCCACACUGGGACUGAGACACGGCCCAGACUCCUACGGGAGGCAGCAGUGGGGAAUAUUGCACAAUGGGCGGAAGCCUGAUGCAGCGACGCCGCGUGAGGGAUGACGGCCUUCGGGUUGUAAACCUCUUUCAGCAGGGAAGAAGCGUGAGUGACGGUACCUGCAGAAGAAGCGCCGGCUAACUACGUGCCAGCAGCCGCGGUAAUACGUAGGGCGCAAGCGUUGUCCGGAAUUAUUGGGCGUAAAGAGCUCGUAGGCGGCUUGUCGCGUCGGAUGUGAAAGCCCGGGGCUUAACUCCGGGUCUGCAUUCGAUACGGGCAGGCUAGAGUGUGGUAGGGGAGAUCGGAAUUCCUGGUGUAGCGGUGAAAUGCGCAGAUAUCAGGAGGAACACCGGUGGCGAAGGCGGAUCUCUGGGCCAUUACUGACGCUGAGGAGCGAAAGCGUGGGGAGCGAACAGGAUU